AUAAGCCUAGAAGUCCCUGUGGAGCUUAAAAUUACAACUUAAAUAAAUAUACUUUAUUCUCCUAAGGGAUCAAGCUUAUAUAAAACUUUAAGUUGAAUUUUUGGUUGGGGUGACCUCAGAGCACAAGAAAACCUCCGAAUGACAUAACUAAGAUUAGCCAAUCCAAGUGCCAUAAACCAGUAAUUGACCCAAAUUUUGAUCAACGGAACAAGUUACCCCAGGGAUAAUAGCGCAAUCCUAUUUAAGAGCCCAUAUCGACAAUUAGGGUUUACGACCUCGAUGUUGGAUCAGAACACCCAAAUGGUGCAGCCACUAUUAAAGGUUCGUUUGAUCAACGAUUAAAGUCCUACGUGAUCUGAGUUCAGACUGGAGAAAUCCAGGUGGGUUUCUAUCUAU
rnacentral:ncRNA from 1 species